rnacentral:rRNA from 1 species
AUUGAACGCUGGCGGCAGGCCUAACACAUGCAAGUCGAACGAGUGGCGGACGGGUGAGUAAUGUCUGGGAAACUGCCCGAUGGAGGGGGAUAACUACUGGAAACGGUAGCUAAUACCGCAUACCAUCAGAUGUGCCCAGAUGGGAUUAGCUAGUAGGUGGGGUAAUGGAUCACCUAGGCGACGAUCCCUAGCUGGUCUGAGAGGAGGACCAGCAACACUGAAAAUGAGAUACGGUCAAGACUACUACGGGAGGCAGUAGUGGGGAAUAUUGCACAAUGGGUGCAAGCCUGAUGCAGCCAUGCCGCGUGUAUGAAGAAGGCCUUCGGGUUGUAAAGUACUUUCAGCGGGGAGGCGUUACUCGCAGAAGAAGCACCGGCUAACUCCGUGCCAGCAGCCGCGGUAAUAC